GCGGGCGUGGCGGAACUGGCAGACGCGCAGGGUUUAGGUCCCUGUGGGCCCGGCCCGUGGGGGUUCGACUCCCCCCGCCCGCA
rnacentral:tRNA from 1 species